UACGUAGGGUGCAAGCGUUAAUCGGAAUUACUGGGCGUAAAGCGUGCGCAGGCGGUUCGGAAAGAGAGGUGUGAAAUCCCCGGGCUCAACCUGGGAAUUGCGUUGGAGACUGCAAGGCUGGAGUCUGGCAGAGGGGGGUAGAAUUCCACGUGUAGCAGUGAAAUGCGUAGAGAUGUGGAGGAACACCGAUGGCGAAGGCAGCCCCCUGGGUCAAGACUGACGCUCAUGCACGAAAGCGUGGGGAGCAAACAGG
rnacentral:rRNA from 1 species